rnacentral:rRNA from 1 species
GACGAACGCUGGCGGCGUGCUUAACACAUGCAAGUCGAACGGGAUCCGGGCUUUCGGGUUUGGUGAGAGUGGCGAACGGGUGAGUAACACGUGAGUAACCUGCCCCCUUCUUUGGGAUAACGUCGGGAAAUCGGCGCUAAUACUGGAUAUUCUUGCUGCAUCGCAUGGUGUGGUUUGGAAAGGGUUUCUGGUGGGGGAUGGGCUCGCGGCCUAUCAGCUUGUUGGUGGGGUGAUGGCCUACCAAGGCUUUGACGGGUAGCCGGCCUGGGAGGGUGUCCGGCCGCACUGGGACUGAGACACGGCCCAGACGCCUACGGGAGGCAGCAGUGGGGAAUAUGGGACAAUGGGCGCAAGCCUGAUGCAGCGACGCCGCGAGAGGGAUGACGGCCUUCGGGUUGUAAACCUCUUUCAGUAUGGAACAAGGAUCCUUCUUUUGGGGGGUUUGAGGGUACGUGCAGAAGAAGCGCCGGCUAACUACGUG